rnacentral:rRNA from 1 species
CCUACGGGUGGCAGCAGUGAGGAAUAUUGGUCAAUGGACGCAAGUCUGAACCAGCCAUGCCGCGUGCAGGAAGACGGCGCUAUGAGUUGUAAACGGCUUUUGUACGAGGGGAAACGCAGAUACGCGUAUCUGUCUGAAAGGAACGUACGAAUAAGGAUCGGCUAACUCCGUGCCAGCAGCCGCGGUAAGACGGAGGAUUCAAGCGUUAUCCGGAUUUAUUGGGUUGAAAGGGUGCGUAGGCGGUCGGAUAAGUUAGAGGUGAAAUCCCGAGGCUCAACUUCGGAAUUGCCUCUGAUACUGUUCGGCUAGCGCGUAGUUGCGGUAGGCGGACUGUCUGGUGUAGCGGU